AACAUGGCGCCGUAAGCUGUGUGUGUCGGUGCCGAUUUUCGCAAACUCUAGGGUUCCUUCAGCGUUCAACUGGAUGUGCUGUGAAUACCGCUGCUUUUUCGGUGCGCGCAAGCCGUGUGAAGACCGACGGUAGUGCCUCUUGGUGUGCGGUGAAGCGUAUCGAAGCCUGUGCCUCGGUGUGUUUAUGAAGCGGGGAUCGGCGCCUGUGUACCGACGGUAACUAGCACUCGAGGAGCCUGCAGUGCGUGUUUGAGUGUUGGUAACAGUUCGUUUGCUUCGCUUUCCAGUGUCUCAGUAAGGUGCAGUGCGGCAUUUCGAAUUGACAACAUUUCGGCACGUUACUUGAGGGAUUCCGCGCCCGCACGGUAACGCAUGAACUACGACUACGCUCUGUAUUUGGUUCUUGCAUCGCCACGGGUUAGCCCGUGCGCUUCUAUUUUCUUGUAAGCAGUCCAGGCAAAUGCAGUGUUCGGGAGUGAAACGAUGUGCGUUGUGAACAGUGGUGCUGUGUUGACAUUUCCAAGACUUGUGAAGAGGCUGUGCCCGUGUGACAGAAGAUUAAAAGCGUUGAUAACCGUGUUUCGCCCUACGAAGUUGCGAUGGUGCUUUAUGAGGGCUUUAAGGAUUUGGCGCUGGGCUUGGCGCUUUCUUUUUUAACUCGUUUCUUCUCCUUGUUGUGAUAACUGUAAUCCGAACAUCAUAGCGUGUCGAACCGAAGUCGCGCGCCGAGACAUUCUGCUGUAAAUGUGGCUGCUUUGGCAGUACGCCUUGACUGUUCUCCGGUGAAAACUUGGACUUGUACCUGGCAGCGAAAGCACAUGGACGUCACGCUUCGCUUCGGACAGAACACACUUCUCACUGGUGCCUUGCCUUGGAUGAAGUCGUAGACCAGCACCGGCUAACUACAGGUUUUCGAGUCCAUCUGUCCUGUCGUUCUGCACGGCACUGGAGCCUUGACUACAGCGGCCCACGACGAUUGGUCACGCUUCACCAGUGGACGUACACGUCUUGCUAGCCUUGCAUUUCUACGUCAACGGCAUUUCCAGUCCACAGACGUCUUUUGCCUGUGGCUGCAGUGCAGAGCACAUUCGAUUCCCGAUGACGCUGACGGCUGCUAAUAUCGUUGUGCCAUCGAUCGCAGACUUUCGUAAGGUCCUGGAAUCCCUCGAUUGCAAGCACUGGCAAAUCAAGCCACCUUAUGACUUGGAGCACAUGUACAGAAAUAGGAAGGACUUGUGCUCCCUAAAUGUACAAGUCUUUUGCAACGGUAGGGGUGUCAUCGUCCAGCCGAUCUCAAAGGGGCCUGGAAGCACGCAUGGCAGCCUCAUCUGGAUGGACUGUGCUCUGCCUGGGAGCUUCAAGGGCAGAAAACUGCCUAAUGGCUGGUUGCUACAUUAGCUUUUUUUAAAGUACAGAUGGUACAGUAAACACCGGUUAAUGUACACACCUUCACAACCCAAACAUUGUUAGUAACAGUGGAUGCUUGCAUUAUUUUCGCACACCAAUGCUAAUUGGACACUUAAGGAGAAGCAAACUAUGAUGGAAUUGACAAUGUCGCAAGUGUAAAGUCUGCAGCUUAUGAAUUUUACUUCAUACAUGUGAGACUGGAAAGUUGUGCUUUUGAAAUAGCGCAAAUACUUUUAUUGCUUAUUGAGCUCUUGUGCUUGUGACACACUCACUGUAUCAAGUGCUCUGUAUGGAAAUAGCAAGUGGGUGAAAAUCGCCUGGCUGUUCGCAACAUGCAGGGAGAAAGAGCUCAGGCAACACAGGAGCAGUAAAUGCGCAUUUUUUUAAAAAGCUCAUCUUUUUUUCAAUGUUGUUGCAUAUGUUGCAUUUCCGUCGUACAUGUUCUCAGCACAAUUGCAUAGUCGCACGGUUAUUUCUACAAAUCGUAUUUGACCUGAAUACACGCUUGUUGAUCUCUGAAGGUGACUCUCCCUAUGCCUGAGAGCCAUGGGUGCUCACCCUCCUGUCCGUGGCUGGCCCAGCUGAGCAGCAGUGCAGUGCAGCCCCCACCCAUGCAAGACAAGUCAUACAGUGCACCUUUGGUGUUCUGAGCACGACACAGCAUAUCCGUCCAGCAUUGCAUUGACAGCAAUAGUGAUGAUGCAGUACCACGGGAUCAGGUGCCUCACUGUCAUCUAAUUGUACAGUGUAUAUCGGACAAAACGCACAAGGCUAACAAGUAGACAGCGACUACCUGUGACUGUGUCCUGCUGUUCAAUGUGCACGUCAACAGACAGAAUGCAUUGUGAUAUCUGGAACAGUUUGAAUCGUAUGGUGAGAAUCUGCUAAGCUGCAGUUUAAUUGUGGAGCAGUGCAUCAUUCAGCAAUUCCUUGCACUUGAGGAUUCAAAAUUAAUUAAAUUCUGCAUUUAAUAUACAAAACCUUGACAUUAAUGUACAGCACACUGUAGUAGUAGUGUGCAAAUUAAUUUCGGCUACCUUGAAUUUUUAACAUGCUCGUAAAUCAAAGUGCAUGUGUGUCUCUGCAUUUCACUGCCAUUAGAAACAGCAGCCAUCGUCGGCAACCAAAACCGUGUUUUCAUGUUUGGUAGUGCAAGAAUGAAACCAUUGAAGCGGGUAAUUUUGCACUUGGUCGAUAUAGUCGUUCAGGAUACGCGCAUUAGUAUAGAACAAAUGAUUUUCUGUUUAUAUAAGCUCUGGAAAGUCCUUCUCCACGGAUUAUUUAGAUGCAAGAGGAGCGUCACUAUUCCUAGUACGUCCAACAAGUUUUAGCACCUGUGUAAUGUUAUCCCGUCGCCUGUCUGUCCUCUUCAACAGUCACCCUCUCUGCAUGUACUGUGCAAGUUUUAAUUUUUUUUUUCAUAUAGUGUUUCUUGCCACAGGUUUCUCCAUUAUGUAAUUGUAUACUCUGCAAAUAGUUUAUCAUCUAUGCAGCUUUGCUCAUUUUACUGCUGAAAGUAUUUAUUGCUUUUUGUAGGGUGAUUAUAGCAUGCAUUUACUUAUGCCUUUUGUUGCGUCUGUACAAUGGUUUAGCCUGAAGAAGGCUGUUGGUAUACUCUAAUCUUGAAACUGGCGACAUCAAACAAAUUUCUAGGCUGAUAACCAUUACUACUAUCAUCAGAUAAGCUGUGACUGCUCCAUGAAAAUGUAUUUAAGAUUCUGUAAACUGUGCCAGGUAAACGUUUUUAAAUUAUUUUAUUGUUGUCCAUGGUUUAUACGCCUGAAACAUAAUUACUUCAUCGUGGUACAUUAUAAAAUGUUAUUAUGCACAUUUCUGCUGAUAAACAUUGCAGCUGAGGCCAGCAGCAAGAUAUACAUGCAAGACACUGAAGCUUCACAUCACAUGCCUUGUCUAGAAGUGCACUGAAAUUUUUUUUCGAGCGGAAUGAGAGACUGCUAUACAGCAGUCUCUCAAUGUGCACACUUCUAAACCUUUUUGAGGAGUGUUUUCAGGAGAAGCAAUAGGGUCUUGACAUGUCAACAACAGCAUUUUUUGUACCCAGGAGCUUAGUAACAGCGAAUUGUUUUAUUUAUGUAUUCGUCCAGAAUUUGUCCGACCUGUGCCAAUUUUUCAGCCCACGUCACCUAACAUGGCUUGUUAUAGUGUUGUCAAUGUGCCCGACUAUGUAAAUAAACUAUGUGUCAUAUUGCAGACAUGUACCAAAAUGUGA